UUUCUUAAAGAUAUUGGUAGAGUGUUCCACGUUCUGCAUGCUCUGAUAUAAAAACUGUUUUGAAAGGUUACUGUUUUUGAUUUGGUAAUCUGAAGAAGGAGUCCUGAUGUAGAACUAGAGCGUCUGGUUACACGAUUUGGUGAAUUUAGUUUCACAUUUUUGUCGGAAUUUUCAUAAAUGCAUUUGAAUAGAUAAACAAGAUCCA